rnacentral:sRNA from 1 species
GACCAACACGACCAUCAUCGUACUUGUAGGGAUGCGCACACGCGAAGCGGUUUGAACCGCUCGGCGAAUGCCACGUGUGCGCGAAUGACCAAGGGCCCGAGUGGCCCUUUUUUCAUGCGCCGAC